AUAUAUAUAUAUAUAAUUGUAUAUUUAAUUAUAUAAAAUUAUAUAUGUAUGGAAUGGAACGAUAGUGGAAGAAAAAUUUUAAAAGUAGAGAAGGGAAUGAGAAAGUGUCUGCCAUUUGGUAUUAAUUUAUAGUGGUAUCCGAAGAAAAAGCCCCAAAUGUAGGGAAAGGAAUGGAAUAGUGCCGGGCAUUUGGGCACCUAGGCCAUAGCUUUAUUGAGAAUUGGUAUCAUGCCUCUGAAAAGCAUAUUGCCGGCAAAACUGCAAGAGACCAAGAGUCAUAGCUGUCUUGCUCUCUCCCUCUCUCUCCCAAGUUCGAAACGUUAAAACCCAGCAAGUGUUUUCUUUAAAUUGGUUGCAAUGACUACUCAAUUCCAGAUUUCCAUUUUCCAGGUGCAAUUAGAAGUUGGAUAUGCAAGUCAAUCUCGAUCAGAAAAGAAAAAACAAGAAGGAAAAGGAUUGAUUCCAGAUUUCCAGAUUUCCAGGUUUUAUUGUUCUAUCACUUCUAUGCUAGUGUGUAUCAUUCAAAGUUUAGACUGUUUAGUAUUUUGGCUUGCUUGUUUGAGUUUUGUCUAGCUAGUUUCAAUAAUGUUUCCUCCGAAACAACUCUCAGGUUCUCAAAAAAGAAAAAGAAAGAAAAGAGAAGAAGAAAUUAUUCAAUCUCAA